CAAUUUAAAGCUUAUUUAGUAAAGCAUUUCAUUUACGUUGAGAAUAUUUCUGUGCAAAUCAGAUUAAGUUGA
rnacentral:tRNA from 1 species